AUGCUGGAGGUAUCAGAAGUGCGAAUGCUGACAUAAGUAACGAUAAAGCGGGUGAAAAGCCCGCUCGCCGGAAGACCAAGGGUUCCUGUCCAACGUUAAUCGGGGCAGGGUGAGUCGACCCCUAAGGCGAGGCCGAAAGGCGUAGUCGAUGGGAAACAGGUUAAUAUUCCUGUACUUGGUGUUACUGCGAAGGGGGGACGGAGAAGGCUAUGUUGGCCGGGCGACGGUUGUCCCGGUUUAAGCGUGUAGGCUGGUUUUCCAGGCAAAUCCGGAAAAUCAAGGCUGAGGCGUGAUGACGAGGCACUACGGUGCUGAAGCAACAAAUGCCCUGCUUCCAGGAAAAGCCUCUAAGCAUCAGGUAACAUCAAAUCGUACCCCAAACCGACACAGGUGGUCAGGUAGAGAAUACCAAGGCGCUUGAGAGAACUCGGGUGAAGGAACUAGGCAAAAUGGUGCCGUAACUUCGGGAGAAGGCACGCUGAUAUGUAGGUGAAGUCCCUCGCGGAUGGAGCUGAAAUCAGUCGAAGAUACCAGCUGGCUGCAACUGUUUAUUAAAAACACAGCACUGUGCAAACACGAAAGUGGACGUAUACGGUGUGACGCCUGCCCGGUGCCGGAAGGUUAAUUGAUGGGGUUAGCGGUAACGCGAAGCUCUUGAUCGAAGCCCCGGUAAACGGCGGCCGUAACUAUAACGGUCCUAAGGUAGCGAAAUUCCUUGUCGGGUAAGUUCCGACCUGCACGAAUGGCGUAAUGAUGGCCAGGCUGUCUCCACCCGAGACUCAGUGAAAUUGAACUCGCUGUGAAGAUGCAGUGUACCCGCGGCAAGACGGAAAGACCCCGUGAACCUUUACUAUAGCUUGACACUGAACAUUGAGCCUUGAUGUGUAGGAUAGGUGGGAGGCUUUGAAGUGUGGACGCCAGUCUGCAUGGAGCCGACCUUGAAAUACCACCCUUUAAUGUUUGAUGUUCUAACGUUGGCCCCUGAUCGGGGUUGCGGACAGUGUCUGGUGGGUAGUUUGACUGGGGCGGUCUCCUCCUAAAGAGUAACGGAGGAGCACGAAGGUUGGCUAAUCCUGGUCGGACAUCAGGAGGUUAGUGCAAUGGCAUAAGCCAGCUUGACUGCGAGCGUGACGGCGCGAGCAGGUGCGAAAGCAGGUCAUAGUGAUCCGGUGGUUCUGAAUGGAAGGGCCAUCGCUCAACGGAUAAAAGGUACUCCGGGGAUAACAGGCUGAUACCGCCCAAGAGUUCAUAUCGACGGCGGUGUUUGGCACCUCGAUGUCGGCUCAUCACAUCCUGGGGCUGAAGUAGGUCCCAAGGGUAUGGCUGUUCGCCAUUUAAAGUGGUACGCGAGCUGGGUUUAGAACGUCGUGAGACAGUUCGGUCCCUAUCUGCCGUGGGCGCUGGAGAACUGAGGGGGGCUGCUCCUAGUACGAGAGGACCGGAGUGGACGCAUCACUGGUGUUCGGGUUGUCAUGCCAAUGGCACUGCCCGGUAGCUAAAUGCGGAAGAGAUAAGUGCUGAAAGCAUCUAAGCACGAAACUUGCCCCGAGAUGAGUUCUCCCUGACCCUUUAAGGGUCCUGAAGGAACGUUGAAGACGACGACGUUGAUAGGCCGGGUGUGUAAGCGCAGCGAUGCGUUGAGCUAACCGGUACUAAUGAACCGUGAGGCUUAACCUU
rnacentral:rRNA from 1 species